rnacentral:rRNA from 1 species
UUAAAAAGCUCGUAGUUGAAUUUCGGGGUUAGUAGGUUGGUCAUGCCUCUGGUACGUACUGGUCUCACUGAUUCCUCCUUCCUGAUGAGCCGUAAUGCCAUUAAUUUGGUGUUGCGGGGAAUUUGGACUGUUACUUUGAAAAAAUUAGAGUGUUUAAAGCAAGCUAACGCUUGAAUACAUUAGCAUGGAAUAAUGAAAUAGGACGUUCGAUCCUAUUUUGUUGGUUUCUAGGAUUGACGUAAUGAUUAAUAGGGAUAGUUGGGGG